rnacentral:tRNA from 3 species
GCGGGUAUGGUGGAAUAGGCAGACACAAGAGACUUAAAAUCUCUCGGGAGAAAUCCCGUGCCGGUUCAAGUCCGGCUACCCGCA